rfam:Aedes albopictus isolate Foshan contig61112, whole genome shotgun sequence.
UGCCCAGCAACUCCUAUCCCUAGCUCCACGCGGUACCGGCCGGAAACUAUGAGCAACCUUAGGGAAGAUCGGGUAACGAACCCCGGUGGGAACUUCGGUCGUUGGCUGACAGGGAAGG